GGUUAAGCGACUAAGCGUACACGGUGGAUGCCCUGGCAGUCAGAGGCGAUGAAGGACGUGCUAAUCUGCGAUAAGCGUCGGUAAGGUGAUAUGAACCGUUAUAACCGGCGAUUUCCGAAUGGGGAAACCCAGUGUGUUUCGACACACUAUCAUUAACUGAAUCCAUAGGUUAAUGAGGCGAACCGGGGGAACUGAAACAUCUAAGUACCCCGAGGAAAAGAAAUCAACCGAGAUUCCCCCAGUAGCGGCGAGCGAACGGGGAGCAGCCCAGAGCCUGAAUCAGUGUGUGUGUUAGUGGAAGCGUCUGGAAAGGCGCGCGAUACAGGGUGACAGCCCCGUACACAAAAAUGCACAUGCUGUGAGCUCGAUGAGUAGGGCGGGACACGUGGUAUCCUGUCUGAAUAUGGGGGGACCAUCCUCCAAGGCUAAAUACUCCUGACUGACCGAUAGUGAACCAGUACCGUGAGGGAAAGGCGAAAAGAACCCCGGCGAGGGGAGUGAAAAAGAACCUGAAACCGUGUACGUACAAGCAGUGGGAGCACGCUUAGGCGUGUGACUGCGUACCUUUUGUAUAAUGGGUCAGCGACUUAUAUUCUGUAGCAAGGUUAACCGAAUAGGGGAGCCGAAGGGAAACCGAGUCUUAACUGGGCGUUAAGUUGCAGGGUAUAGACCCGAAACCCGGUGAUCUAGCCAUGGGCAGGUUGAAGGUUGGGUAACACUAACUGGAGGACCGAACCGACUAAUGUUGAAAAAUUAGCGGAUGACUUGUGGCUGGGGGUGAAAGGCCAAUCAAACCGGGAGAUAGCUGGUUCUCCCCGAAAGCUAUUUAGGUAGCGCCUCGUGAAUUCAUCUCCGGGGGUAGAGCACUGUUUCGGCAAGGGGGUCAUCCCGACUUACCAACCCGAUGCAAACUGCGAAUACCGGAGAAUGUUAUCACGGGAGACACACGGCGGGUGCUAACGUCCGUCGUGAAGAGGGAAACAACCCAGACCGCCAGCUAAGGUCCCAAAGUCAUGGUUAAGUGGGAAACGAUGUGGGAAGGCCCAGACAGCCAGGAUGUUGGCUUAGAAGCAGCCAUCAUUUAAAGAAAGCGUAAUAGCUCACUGGUCGAGUCGGCCUGCGCGGAAGAUGUAACGGGGCUAAACCAUGCACCGAAGCUGCGGCAGCGACGCUGAUGCGUUGUUGGGUAGGGGAGCGUUCUGUAAGCCUGUGAAGGUGUGCUGUGAGGCAUGCUGGAGGUAUCAGAAGUGCGAAUGCUGACAUAAGUAACGAUAAAGCGGGUGAAAAGCCCGCUCGCCGGAAGAUCAAGGGUUCCUGUCCAACGUUAAUCGGGGCAGGGUGAGUCGACCCCUAAGGCGAGGCCGAAAGGCGUAGUCGAUGGGAAACAGGUUAAUAUUCCUGUACUUGGUGUUACUGCGAAGGGGGGACGGAGAAGGCUAUGUUGGCCGGGCGACGGUUGUCCCGGUUUAAGCGUGUAGGCUGGUUUUCCAGGCAAAUCCGGAAAAUCAAGGCUGAGGCGUGAUGACGAGGCACUACGGUGCUGAAGCAACAAAUGCCCUGCUUCCAGGAAAAGCCUCUAAGCAUCAGGUAACAUCAAAUCGUACCCCAAACCGACACAGGUGGUCAGGUAGAGAAUACCAAGGCGCUUGAGAGAACUCGGGUGAAGGAACUAGGCAAAAUGGUGCCGUAACUUCGGGAGAAGGCACGCUGAUAUGUAGGUGAAGCGACUUGCUCGUGGAGCUGAAAUCAGUCGAAGAUACCAGCUGGCUGCAACUGUUUAUUAAAAACACAGCACUGUGCAAACACGAAAGUGGACGUAUACGGUGUGACGCCUGCCCGGUGCCGGAAGGUUAAUUGAUGGGGUCAGCGCAAGCGAAGCUCUUGAUCGAAGCCCCGGUAAACGGCGGCCGUAACUAUAACGGUCCUAAGGUAGCGAAAUUCCUUGUCGGGUAAGUUCCGACCUGCACGAAUGGCGUAAUGAUGGCCAGGCUGUCUCCACCCGAGACUCAGUGAAAUUGAACUCGCUGUGAAGAUGCAGUGUACCCGCGGCAAGACGGAAAGACCCCGUGAACCUUUACUAUAGCUUGACACUGAACAUUGAGCCUUGAUGUGUAGGAUAGGUGGGAGGCUUUGAAGUGUGGACGCCAGUCUGCAUGGAGCCGACCUUGAAAUACCACCCUUUAAUGUUUGAUGUUCUAACGUGGACCCGUGAUCCGGGUUGCGGACAGUGUCUGGUGGGUAGUUUGACUGGGGCGGUCUCCUCCUAAAGAGUAACGGAGGAGCACGAAGGUUGGCUAAUCCUGGUCGGACAUCAGGAGGUUAGUGCAAUGGCAUAAGCCAGCUUGACUGCGAGCGUGACGGCGCGAGCAGGUGCGAAAGCAGGUCAUAGUGAUCCGGUGGUUCUGAAUGGAAGGGCCAUCGCUCAACGGAUAAAAGGUACUCCGGGGAUAACAGGCUGAUACCGCCCAAGAGUUCAUAUCGACGGCGGUGUUUGGCACCUCGAUGUCGGCUCAUCACAUCCUGGGGCUGAAGUAGGUCCCAAGGGUAUGGCUGUUCGCCAUUUAAAGUGGUACGCGAGCUGGGUUUAGAACGUCGUGAGACAGUUCGGUCCCUAUCUGCCGUGGGCGCUGGAGAACUGAGGGGGGCUGCUCCUAGUACGAGAGGACCGGAGUGGACGCAUCACUGGUGUUCGGGUUGUCAUGCCAAUGGCACUGCCCGGUAGCUAAAUGCGGAAGAGAUAAGUGCUGAAAGCAUCUAAGCACGAAACUUGCCCCGAGAUGAGUUCUCCCUGACUCCUUGAGAGUCCUGAAGGAACGUUGAAGACGACGACGUUGAUAGGCCGGGUGUGUAAGCGCAGCGAUGCGUUGAGCUAACCGGUACUAAUGAACCGUGAGGCUUAACCUU
rnacentral:rRNA from 1 species